CACGCCGUAAACGAUGAGCGCUAGGUGUUGGGGGUAUUGACCCCCCCAGUACCGCAGCUAACGCGUUAAGCGCUCCGCCUGGGGAGUACGGCCGCAAGGCUAAAACUCAAAGGAAUUGACGGGGACCCGCACAAGCGGUGGAUGAUGUGGAUUAAUUCGAUGCAACGCGAAAAACCUUACCUACCCUUGACAUGUCCGGAACCCUGGUGAGAGCUGGGGGUGCCCGAAAGGGAAUCGGAACACAGGUGC
rnacentral:rRNA from 1 species